AUUCAAGGUAUAUGGCUGCUCGGGAGUGAAGGCGCGGAGGCCCGAGAAAGGAUAAACAAGACACCGCCUCAUCAGAUAAGAACGUCUCCUUCGAUGUCACGGAUUUCAAGAGGUAGCUGGAGAAACUGACGUCAGGAGUGUCCUGUGAAUGAACAUCGCCCGAGGCCUAGCACCCACAGAAGAAGGGUUCUAUUUUACUCUACUUUGCUUGAUAUUAUUUAUUUUCUAACAAAGUGAUCCGUAGUCUGCAACCUUAGGCUCUGACAGGCAAAGCCCAUUUCUUAGCUCUGGGGAUGGCUUGCAGGGUCUCCACCUCUGUCCACUUUGGUGUCCUCUUUCUCCCUUCGGCUCCCCACCUCCAUCCCCCGAGCCCACACACAGCGGGGUGAAGCUGUCGGGGAGACUCGUGGGCAACCAAAUGCAGGCACCCUCUGAAGAGACGCCGAGAAGGCCCUGCAUUCGAUCCGGGAGGACAUAGAAAGAUGCCAUGAAGUUCUAUUGGGUGCAGCAAGCCGUUCCCCACGCACACUCCCCGUGAUACCUGCCCAGAGAAGCAGAAGCAGUUUCGAGGGCUGUUGACACAGGCAGAGCGGGGAAACGCGCCCAAGAAUUGGGCUGCCACUGGUAUGGGUCCCAAGUCACAUUCAAUAAGCUGCCCACCGCUUUCUGGGGGACAGCAGUGGUGGUUCUAGGUCUCAUCUUUCCAGAGCGACGAGGAUAAAAGUUCCUGCCCAGGACUGUGUGCGAGGGGGUCCCGCACUGCUGCAAACUCUCAGCGGAGGCAGAGAGGCUUUGCUGUUUCUGGAGAGAGGAAGCAUUGGCAGAGGCAGUCUCCGGGCUGUGAGGAAUCCACCCUCAUGCCUUAGUGUGGGUACGUCAGGUCCCAGCAUCAGCGGGCCAUUUCCUCAGUUGCAUGAAUGGAGGAAAAACCAAACCAAACCAAACCAAACCAAACCAAACCAAACCAAACCAAACCUUGGCUGUGGACAAAGAAAACAGGAGAGGGAGAGGAUGGAGGAGAAAAAGAGCACGAGGGAGGGCAAACACCUUAAACAUUUUUUGCCGUAAGACUAGAAGAACUAGGUCUGGAAAGAUCCAUCAAAGUCCCAGGGUGCAGACACACACCCUGCCCAGGGAGAGCCCAGUGAGUCUGAACUUCUCUUAGUCCUUCUGAAGGAAGGAAAUUUAAAAAGCACCUCUCACUACCACCAAAAAGUAAACACUUUUACCAUGUAGUCAUUA